ANNNNNNUUGGUUGAGCUGUCGCUUCGGCGUACGUGCUCGCCUCGCCGUCCAUUCUCAACACCUGUGCACAUUCAANUNUUCUUCUUCCGUUUCUUUUCUGCCGGUACUGCUUUCAUUAGUGGGAAAGUGAAGAGGGAAUUGGAGAGGUUGGCUGCCUUUUAACACACCCUUCUUUUAAAAUGUCUAUGAACGUCAAAUGUAGGCUCGCCUUAAAAACGUGAUGCUGAAAUUAAAAUUAAUACAACUUUUAACAACGGAUCUCUUGGCUCUCGCAUCGAUGAAGAACGCAGCGAAAUGCGAUAAGUAAUGUGAAUUGCAGAAUUCAGUGAAUCAUCUAAUCUUUGAACGCACCUUGCGCUCCUUGGUAUUCCGAGGAGCAUGCCUGUUUGAGUGUCAUUAAAUUCUCAACCUCAUAACGUUUUCGGACGGUCCUUGAGGCUUGGACUUUGGAGCGUGUCGGUUCUCUUAUUGAAUCGACUCCUCUUUAAAUGCAUUAUCUGGAACCUCUUGUGGACCAGACUACGGUGUGAUAAUUAUCUACGCUGNUGGUCUUGUGAAGCACUUUGUUACNAGGUUCUGCUUCUAACCGUCCCUUACACGGACAACAAUCUUAAUUGACAUUUUGACCUCNAAUCANGUAGGACUACCCGCUGAACUUAANCAUAUCAAUUANCGAAGGA
rnacentral:rRNA from 1 species